UUUUUCUUUCCCCAUUAAAUUGUUAUUCUGACUUGGUGUCUCCCACUAGUUUGUUUUCAAACUAGUACACUGCCAGAGCCUCGGUGAGAGCUGCCGGAGCGCAGACGGAGGAAGGCCUUUGGACAGGUGCAAGACAGGAGUCCCUGCUUCCCCAGAACCACGUCGAUCUGCAGAACCUGCUUGUGGCUGAGGAUGCAGAUGGCCAGGAAGGCCUGGAAGUAAGCACAGAGGUCAGCCCAGUGCAAGAUGAUUGUUCCAGAGACAAGUGUCCCAGUAGCAAGAGUCUUGGAGCUACUAAUUGUCAGCCCAGAGCUCCCAUGGCACUGUGGCUGUUCCAAGGAGGGAACACUCCGUGCUUUGCAGCGGACAUGAUCCACAUGAAACCAAGGAGGUUCCUCCAUCUUCAGGAAGCUCCCCUGACAUGGCUUCUGACUUCCAGGAAAGUGUUUACCGAUGGCGGUCAGAUCUUCUUAGGAGCAUGUGUGUUAAAUAAAUUUGGAUUUUCCCAGAGAAC